rnacentral:tRNA from 1 species
GGUCCGCCCGCCCGAGGAGGUGGCCCGGUUCCUGUCCGGGCAGGCGCCGACGACGAUCGUCGCGCCGCCGGCCGCCA